rnacentral:rRNA from 1 species
UGCCAGCCGCCGCGGUAAUACGGAGGGGACUAGCGUUGUUCGGAAUUACUGGGCGUAAAGCGCACGUAGGCGGACCAGAAAGUAUGGGGUGAAAUCCCGGGGCUCAACCCCGGAACUGCCUCAUAAACUCCUGGUCUAGAGUUCGAGAGAGGUGAGUGGAAUUCCGAGUGUAGAGGUGAAAUUCGUAGAUAUUCGGAGGAACACCAGUGGCGAAGGCGGCUCACUGGCUCGAUACUGACGCUGAGGUGCGAAAGCGUGGGGAGCAAACAGGAUUAGAUA